UACGAAGGGGGCUAGCGUUGUUCGGAAUUACUGGGCGUAAAGCGCGCGCAGGCGGUUUCUUAAGUCUGAUGUGAAAGCCCACGGCUCAACCGUGGAGGGUCAUUGGAAACUGGGGAACUUGAGUGCAGAAGAGAAAAGCGGAAUUCCACGUGUAGCGGUGAAAUGCGUAGAGGUGUGGAGGAACACCAGUGGCGAAGGCGGCUUUUUGGUCUGUAACUGACGCUGAGGCGCGAAAGCGUGGGGAGCAAACAGG
rnacentral:rRNA from 1 species